AUGGCUGACAGACAGCUCACACUGUUGGUGGUUGCUGUGUUUGUUUGGAGUGGUGCUGAAGGUUGGAGCAUAACAGAGUCUGAACCAGCAGUGAAAAGACCUGGAGAGUCCCACAGACUCACCUGUACAACAUCUGGAAUAUCAUUUAGUAGCUACUGGAUGAACUGGAUCAGACAGACUCCUGGUAAAGGACUGGAAUGGAUCGCUUACAUCGGCACAUCUAGUUCUCCUAUCUAUUACUCCCAGUCAGUCCAGGGUAGAUUCACCAUCUCCAGAGAUGAUUCCAGCAGUAAAGUCUAUCUACAGAUGAACAGCCUGAAGACUGAGGACACAGCAGUGUAUUACUGUGCCAGAGAGACACAGUGA